rnacentral:misc_RNA from 1 species
AACGCACGAGACCUGCGGACCUGCGGAAGGAUCAUUACUGAGUUUCACAACUCUCUAACCCUGUGUGAACUGAAGUCUGGUUGCUCAGGCAGGCGGCCCCCGGGGGGGAGCCGCAGCUUCUCUGAAGCGCCUGCCGGAGGAUACCUAAACUCGUUUUAACAUAUAAUCUUCUGAGUAAUAAAAAAAAAAUGAAUCAAAACUUUCAACAAUGGAUCUCU